UACGAAGGGGGCUAGCGUUGCUCGGAAUUACUGGGCGUAAAGCGCACGUAGGCGGCUCUUUAAGUCGGGGGUGAAAUCCUGGAGUUCAACUCCAGAACUGCCUUCGAUACUGUAGAGCUUGAGUUCGGGAGAGGUGAGUGGAACUGCGAGUGUAGAGGUGAAAUUCGUAGAUAUUCGCAAGAACACCAGUGGCGAAGGCGGCUCACUGGCCCGAUACUGACGCUGAGGAGCGAAAGCGUGGGAGCGAACAGG
rnacentral:rRNA from 1 species